CGAGGCGAACCGGGGAAACUGAAACAUCUCAGUACCCCGAGUAAAAGAAAUCAACCGAGAUUCCCCCAGUAGCGGCGAGCGAACGGGGAGCAGCCCAGAGUCAACAUCAAUAUUUACCACAGGAGAAGGGUCUGGAAAAGCCGGCAAUAAAGGGUGAUAGCCCCGUAUCUAAAGCGGUAAGUGUUGUGAACUCGAAGAGUAAGGCGGGACACGUGUUAUCCUGUCUGAAUAUGGGGGGACCAUCCUCCAGGGCUAAAUACUCCUGACUGACCGAUAGUGAACCAGUACCGUGAGGGAAAGGCGAAAAGAACCCCGGCGAGGGGAGUGAAAUAGAACCUAAAACCGUGUACGUACAAGCAGUAGGAGCACCCGAAAGGGUGUGACUGCGUACCUUUUGUAUAAUGGGUCAGCGACUUAUAUUCUGUAGCAAGGUUAACCGCAUAGGGGAGCUGUAGGGAAACCGAGUCUUAACUGGGCGUUAAGUUGCAGGGUAUAGACCCGAAACCCGGUGAUCUAGCCAUAAGCAGGUUGAAG
rnacentral:rRNA from 1 species